rnacentral:sRNA from 1 species
UGUUUGCGAGUACACAUGUGCUGUAAAU